AGAUGGUCUGUAAGUGAAAACUGAUGGGAGGGAAUAUGUCUGUGUGUUCUGUAGAUUCGAGUAAGAGUAGAAAAGGAUCCAGAACUUGGAUUUAGCAUAUCAGGAGGUGUCGGCGGCAGAGGAAACCCUUUCAGACCUGAUGAUGAUGGUAUAUUUGUAACAAGGGUACAACCUGAAGGACCAGCAUCAAAAUUACUACAGCCAGGAGAUAAAAUUAUUCAGGCUAAUGGCUACAGUUUUAUCAACAUUGAACAUGGGCAAGCGGUGUCCUUGUUAAAAACUUUCCAUAAUGCAGUAGAUCUCAUCAUUGUACGAGAAGUUUCUUCAUAAGCACUAUAGACAAAAACAAUGGGGGAAGAUAGCAAGAUUUAUGGAAGACACUUGCAAGGGAAAUGACUAUUUUGCUUAUUUUUAUAUAUAAAGAAGAACUC
rnacentral:lncRNA from 1 species